UACGUAGGGGGCAAGCGUUAUCCGGAAUCAUUGGCGUAAAGCGCGUGUAGGCGGUUCCGUAAGUCCGCUCUGAAAGCCCAGGGCUCAACCCUGGGAGGCGGGUGGAUACUACGGAACUGGAGUACGGAAGAGGAGAUUGGAAUCUGGUGUAGCGGUGAAAUGCGCAGAUAUCAGGAGGAACACCAACAGCGAAGGCAGAUCUCUGGGACGUUACUGACGCUGAGACGCGAAAGCGUGGGGAGCAAACAGG
rnacentral:rRNA from 1 species